rnacentral:lncRNA from 1 species
UCUUCUAUCAGCUACUAGUCUUCUCCAGGAUGUCAAGACAUCUCAUGUGACAUCAGCUAUCUGCUCCCCCUGUCUCCAUGCUCUUACUAGUAGCUUACAUCAGUCAUCAUCAACAGUAGUCUCCCCCUCAAAGUCAUAUACAUGCAACUCCUCCUCAAAAUCAUGAAUCAUGCAUACAUCGUUUCCUACUGCCAUACAUCGUAUCAAUCAUGCAUAAUACGACUAUUGCAUACAUAGCUACUACUCAAAAUCAUGCAUAAUAGCAAGCAUAAUACUAU